GGAUUGUUUUUUUUAAAUUUUGAAAAUUUAAGGGGGCUCUGGCCACAAUCUU
rnacentral:tRNA from 1 species